ensembl:lncRNA
CCCAAACCAAUCAUAGCCAGACGGCCCGUGGCCAGAAUUGCUGCAAAACUGAAUCACUAAGAUAAUGCCCUUCUGUUUUACUUCUCACGAGGGGUAACUAGUCUCAGCACUCGUCUAGAUGACAAUUAAAACCUAAACUCUCACCUCCACUCUCAGAGCCUCUUCCCCUGAACAAGAUCUCAGGCUUCUGCUAUCCCCUUCAGUUUCUGUGUGAGAACGAAUUAGUUUCCUCUGUGUGUGUGCAUGCACAUCUGAAAUAAACAGAUUAAUAUUCUGGUAACUAAAUUCUUACCCUCUCUUCCCUGCCUCAGAAGCAUCUUGCUGCCAUCUCCCUCCACCAGAACAGUAAGCCGGAAUGAAACGUCUGAUUCCUGCACCCACGUAUCCACCCUCCCUCCAAAGGACGUGAGCGCAGAACGGCGGAGGAGGCGAACGAAUCACACAGAGGUUUGCUCCAUGUGUUUGUGCCUGUAAUGUAGCUACAACAGACUGAUCCAACAGCCCCAGAGGGAACCUGCUGAGGAAGCAGAGCCCGUGCUCAGCCCUCACCUCUUCCACACCUCUGCUCCAUCACAAGGCGCAGAGCACAUCCCCAGCCUGCAGGUCUCCGGGUGGGUCUGGUGUUCUGUUAGCACUGCUGCUGCCCAGGAACGUCUGUUUAAUCUGCUGGGUCUAAGAGGCUCAAGGAGAGCGUUUGGUGUUGGUGCUGUCACCUCUGCUGCUGCUACAGCAAAGGUUCUUCUCAGUUAAAAACACAACUCAUAAAACAAGACAGCUACCAGGGAGAGUCAACAGCCUGUGUGAAACACCUCUUCUCCCUUUUAACUUGGAAAAGGAAACUAAAGAGCAGAUGAAGUGAGAAGAUGGCCUUUACAAUUCCUACACUCGCGGGCCGGAGUGCAAACGGAGCGCAGCGCGGACUGAGCG